rnacentral:rRNA from 1 species
CCCUUAGAUGUUCUGGGCCGCACGCGCGCCACACUGAUGCAUUCAACGAGCCUAUCCUUGACCGACAGGUCCGGGUAAUCUUUGAAUCUGCAUCGUGACGGGGAUAGAUUAUUGCAAUUAUUAAUCUUCAACGAGGAAUGCCUAGUAGGCGCAAGUCAUCAGCUUGCGUCGAUUACGUCCCUGCCCUUUGUACACACCGCCCGUCGCUCCUACCGAUUGGGUGUGCUGGUGAAAUGUUCGGAUCGGCCGUUUGUCGCGGUUUCCGCGUCAUGUGGCUGAGAAGUUCAUUAACCCCUCCCACCUAGAGGAAGGAGAAGUCGUAACA